rnacentral:lncRNA from 1 species
UUUUCAGGCUGCCUCUGCCUCCAAACCCUGCGGAGCCCUCCCUGCCCCGUGCUUUGAAGCAGUUUCUUUGGAAGCUGCUGCACAGGGGUUAACAACAAGCAACAACUCAGGUCGCAUUCUUGUCAACGGAAGGGAGGGCCAGGUGGAACCGCCAAGGGGGCCAUUUCUGGCUUUGCUGGAGGCUGUCAGCUUCUGGUGGGAGCCACAGCCUGAGGGCAGCCAGGAUGGCUCUGCUGGGAGGGACACCCUGCCCAACCCUGGGAGCAGGUGACGAAGGCUCCUGGAGGCAUGGUCACAUCCCUGGGUCCCAGAGGCAGGAACAAAGCCCCCAGGGCAGUGUUCAUCAAGAAAGGGCCUCCGGGUUUGUGUUUACUGGACAUGAAUUGAGCUGCUCUCCAGAGAUAAGAAAAAAAUAUUACAGCCCUGCUAUGUGGGCACCCCACGGCAGCCCCCGGGGUUAAGGGGCAGCUUUCUUUCCAAGGAAUCCCAUUGCCAAAGAUGAACCUUCAGAUGGGGAAACUGAGGACCCAGAGGAAGCAAGAGCAGCCCCAGGCCACACAACCCUCUUUUUAUUAUUCAUUCACUGACUACACUGCAGAGGUUGGACCCAUAUCUCAUUAUUUGAAUAGUAAAUUGUUUUUUCUUCCUGA